GAUGAACGCUGGCGGUGUGCCUAAUACAUGCAAGUCGAGCGAACAGACGAGGAGCUUACUCCUCUGACGUUAGCGGCGGACGGGUGAGUAACACGUGGAUAACCUACCUAUAAGACUGGGAUAACUUCGGGAAACCGGAGCUAAUACCGGAUAACAUGUUGAACCGCAUGGUUCAACAGUGAAAGACGGUCUUGCUGUCACUUAUAGAUGGAUCCGCGUCGCAUUAGCUAGUUGGUAAGGUAACGGCUUACCAAGGCAACGAUGCGUAGCCGACCUGAGAGGGUGAUCGGCCACACUGGAACUGAGACACGGUCCAGACUCCUACGGGAGGCAGCAGUAGGGAAUCUUCCGCAAUGGGCGAAAGCCUGACGGAGCAACGCCGCGUGAGUGGAGAAGGUCUUCGGAUCGUAAAACUCUGUUAUUAGGGAAGAACAAAUGUGUAAGUAACUAUGCACGUCUUGACGGUACCUAAUCAGAAAGCCACGGCUAACUACGUG
rnacentral:rRNA from 1 species